rnacentral:rRNA from 1 species
AUUGAACGCUGGCGGCAUGCCUUACACAUGCAAGUCGAACGGUAACGCGGGGCAACCUGGCGACGAGUGGCGAACGGGUGAGUAACGCAUCGGAACGUGCCCAGUAGUGGGGGAUAGCCCGGCGAAAGCCGGAUUAAUACCGCAUACGACCUACGGGUGAAAGCGGGGGACCGUAAGGCCUCACGCUAUUGGAGCGGCCGAUGUCAGAUUAGGUAGUUGGCGGGGUAAAGGCCUACCAAGCCGACGAUCUGUAGCUGGUCUGAGAGGACGACCAGCCACACUGGGACUGAGACACGGCCCAGACUCCUACGGGAGGCAGCAGUGGGGAAUUUUGGACAAUGGGCGCAAGCCUGAUCCAGCCAUGCCGCGUGCGGGAAGAAGGCCUUCGGGUUGUAAACCGCUUUUGUCAGGGAAGAAACGCUCUGGGCUAAUACCCCGGGGUAAUGACGGUACCUGAAGAAUAAGCACCGGCUAACUACGUGCCAGCAGCCGCGGUAAUAC